rnacentral:rRNA from 1 species
GUCUCUUUGAUUUUGUUUUAUAAAGAGUUGGGCCUGCUCAGUGAUAUUUUUUAACAGCUGCGGUGUUAUAACUGUACUAAGGUAGCAUAAUAAUUUGCCUUAUAAAUUAGGGCUAGAAUGAAUGGUUUGACGAGAGUUAUACUGUCUCUAUUUUAAUUGUUAGAAGUUAAUUUUUAUAGUGAAAAAGCUUGGAUGGUUUAAAGGGACGAGAAGACCCUGUUGAGCUUAAUAUAUAUAUAUAUAUAUAUAUAUAUAUAUAUAUUUGGUUGGGGUGAUCAAGGAAUAAAAUGUAAAUAGUUUAACUUCCUUAAAAAUUUUUUUUUUGUUAGGAUAAUAAACCAAUUUAUUGCUUUAAUGAUAAGUUACCAUAGGGAUAACAGCGUAAUUUUUUUAGAGAGUUCUUAUUGAAAAAAAAGAUUGCGACCUCGAUGUUGGAUUAAAAUAACCAUUAGGUGUAGAUGCUUUAUUUGGUGAAUCUGUUCGAUUUUUAAAAUUUUACA